GGGCACGUAGCUCAAUUGGACAAGAGCACCGUCGAUUGUGCGUAUGGACGCAGGUUCGAUUCCCGCCGGGGCCU
rfam:Phytophthora parasitica INRA-310 unplaced genomic scaffold supercont2.1, whole genome shotgun sequence.